UACAGAGGGGGCAAGCGUUGUUCGGAAUUACUGGGCGUAAAGGGCGCGUAGGCGGCCUGCUAAGUCGAACGUGAAAUCCCCGGGCUCAACCCGGGAACUGCGUCCGAUACUGGUUGGCUUGAAUCCGGGAGAGGGAUGCGGAAUUCCAGGUGUAGCGGUGAAAUGCGUAGAUAUCUGGAGGAACACCGAUGGCGAAGGCAGAUCUCUGGGCCGUAACUGACGCUGAGGAGCGAAAGCAUGGGGAGCGAACAGGA
rnacentral:rRNA from 1 species